rnacentral:tRNA from 1 species
AUUUAAAUAGUUUAAAAAAAUUUCAGUUUGUGGGGCUGAAGAUGAAUAUAAAAUUCUUUAAAUU